UCGUAACAAGGUCUCCGUUGGUGAACCAGCGGAGGGAUCAUUACUGAGUUUACGCUCUACAACCCUUUGUGAACAUACCUAUAACUGUUGCUUCGGCGGGUAGGGUCUCCGUGACCCUCCCGGCCUCCCGCCCCCGGGCGGGUCGGCGCCCGCCGGAGGAUAACCAAACUCUGAUUUAACGACGUUUCUUCUGAGUGGUACAAGCAAAUAAUCAAAACUUUUAACAACGGAUCUCUUGGUUCUGGCAUCGAUGAAGAACGCAGCGAAAUGCGAUAAGUAAUGUGAAUUGCAGAAUUCAGUGAAUCAUCGAAUCUUUGAACGCACAUUGCGCCCGCCAGCAUUCUGGCGGGCAUGCCUGUUCGAGCGUCAUUUCAACCCUCAAGCUCUGCUUGGUGUUGGGGCCCUACAGCUGAUGUAGGCCCUCAAAGGUAGUGGCGGACCCUCCCGGAGCCUCCUUUGCGUAGUAACUUUACGUCUCGCACUGGGAUCCGGAGGGACUCUUGCCGUAAAACCCCCCAAUUUCCAAAGGUUGACCUCGA
rnacentral:rRNA from 1 species